rnacentral:rRNA from 1 species
AUUGAACGCUGGCGGCAUGCCUUACACAUGCAAGUCGAACGGCAGCACGGGAGCAAUCCUGGUGGCGAGUGGCGAACGGGUGAGUAAUGUAUCGGAACGUACCUUUCAGUGGGGGAUAACGUAGCGAAAGUUACGCUAAUACCGCAUAUUCUGUGUGCAGGAAAGCAGGGGAUCGCAAGACCUUGCGCUGAUUGAGCGGCCGAUAUCAGAUUAGCUAGUUGGUGAGGUAAAGGCUCACCAAGGCGACGAUCUGUAGCGGGUCUGAGAGGAUGAUCCGCCACACUGGAACUGAGACACGGUCCAGACUCCUACGGGAGGCAGCAGUGGAGAAUUUUGGACAAUGGGGGCAACCCUGAUCCAGCCAUGCCGCGUGAGUGAAGAAGGCCUUCGGGUUGUAAAG